UACGGAGGGUGCAAGCGUUGUCCGGAUUUAUUGGGCGUAAAGAGCGUGUAGGCGGCCAGGUAGGUCUGCUGUGAAAACUCGAGGCUCAACCUCGAGACGUCGGCGGAAACCAUCUGGCUAGAGUCCGGAAGAGGAGAGUGGAAUUCCUGGUGUAGCGGUGAAAUGCGCAGAUAUCAGGAAGAACACCCGUGGCGAAGGCGGCUCUCUGGGACGGUACUGACGCUGAGACGCGAAAGCGUGGGGAGCGAACAGG
rnacentral:rRNA from 1 species